ACCAAGGCAAUGUACAAAAGUGAGUGAGUUUACGUUAGCAUUAGCCGGCUAACUGACUAGCUAGCAAGCUGGCUAACCGACUAGCUAGCAGGCUGGCUAGCCAGCCCUACUUGGCUUCUGUCUAUCAUUAUGCUAGCUAGUGAAAGUCAAUUUGUCCCUCAACCUGCUACAAGAUGAAGCUGCCCAGCCAGAGGUGUACCUGCUGCAGAAAGGUGAUAUUUCUACAUUACUUUUUGCAGCUAACUUCACUAGAUCUUCUUGCUGGCUGAUGUUGGUGCUUAUUAACUGAGUAGGUUAAUAAUUAACUGCAGUUACUGUAAAUGUUACCUGUCUGGGCCUUUGCAUAUGUAUUUCUUUCACAUAAAACACAACAAUAUCCAGUUAAACUACAUUCAAUGCUGAUAUUGUAUCAGUAUGGCAUCUGAACAGAUCAUCAUGAACUUCAUUCAGUUACAUCAGCCAAUGCAGUAAGUUUUUAAAAUCAGCCUUUUUAUUGGUGUGGGUAUAAUUCACAAACCUCCUUGCCUGCUUACAGAAAGGCAGAUAUAGAAAAGGCUAUGUGUGAGGAUACUACAUUAAUCGCUGGGACAAUUGACCUUCUUUUCUGAAUGUAUACAUACCACCUUUCAGGGGGCUGAUAACCAAUUUUACAGAUCCAGUCUGAUAUUACUUGAUUACGGAUUCCCCCUACACUCUCUCCUCUCUCAUUCACAGGACCAUUCCAACAGUCCAGUCACUCAGCCCUAUCCAGAAACUCUCAAGUUCACUCACUCAGCCAGUAGGCUGGGUGAUGGCACCUACAGGCCUGUUUGAGGGACAACUGGACAGAACAUAUCAGAAUGCUUGGACCUCGGCUGAGACUCGCCUCUCCUUCCCAGUCUUUCAAGGAAAGCACCUACUUUACACUUCCUGUUUGGCAUGAUGAUCUCAAGCAACAGUCUUCCAACAACAUUCCACCUCUCCGCCACCACCAGCAUAUAUAACCUGAAGGCCCGUCAUCAGAUCCCUGUUCUCCCAGUUGGGGGUGGGGGGGGGUUUCGGUGCCAGCUGCCCAGCAUAGGGCAACCUGUCAUCAGCAUCUGGCUCUGAGGAGCAAUCCUCUGAGACGAGGUCUACCCCAAACUAUUCAAUAA